rnacentral:rRNA from 1 species
AUGGCGCAAGCAGCCGGCGGAUUGAUUGAUGCAGCGCCUGAAAGCGGCUGGUCUGGUGCGCGUUGGCGCAGCGUUCGUGAGGUCCAGCUAAGCAGCGGCUUAGCAGGAGCCCAUGGCCCAUGUGUGGCUGUUUGGUCAAGCCUGGUUGACCAGGGGAGGCGUACGGACUACGGAGGACUGGGGCUGCAUUACUGUACGAUGCGGAAAGCUAUGAAUAUGUACGAGAAGACUGUUGUUGGAUAUGCGAGACAAGUUGAGAUUUGUUUUGGAAAAAAAGAGGACACGGAAAGAGGCAGCAGCAGAAUGAAUCGGCAAAGGAAAUCAUUGAUACAUGAUUCACGUCCAUUGGAAAUAGCAAGGCUGUGGCAAGGCAAAAGCUAG